AUCUUUUUGUGGUUUCUAAGAGUGAUGGUUGGGUUUUCACACUCGUGUGAGAUACGCCUCCCUCAAACCUUAUUACCACCUAAGCACAUUAUCCAUCUGAUG